rnacentral:tRNA from 1 species
GCCUUUGUGACGGAAUUGGUAGACGUGCCAGUUUUAGGAACUGGUGUCAUAUGGCGUGUCGGUUCGAGUCCGACCAAAGGCA